rnacentral:misc_RNA from 1 species
GAAGAAGAACGUAGCGAAAUGCGAUAAGUAAUGUGAAUUGCAGAAUUCAGUGAAUCAUCGAAUCUUUGAACGCACCUUGCGCCCUUUGGCCAUUCCGAAGGGCAUGCCUGUUUGAGUAUCAUGAACACCUCAACUCUUUAUGGUUUUCCAUGAUGAGCUUGGACUCUGGGGGUUUUGCUGGCUCACAGUCGGCUCCUCUGAAAUGAAUCAGCUUACCAGUGUUUGGUGGGUAUCAUAGGUGUGAUAACUAUCUACGCUUGUGGUUUUUCCACCAGGUAACCUUCAGCAGUGGAGGUUCGCUGGAGCUCAUAGAUGUCUCUCCUCAGUGAGGACAGCCCUUUGAAUGUUUGAUCUCAAAUCAGGUAGGACUACCCGCUGAACUUAAGCAUAUCAAUAAGCGGAGGA